GCCGCCGCGGUAAUACGGAGGAUUCGAGCGUUAUCCGGAUUUAUUGGGUUUAAAGGGAGCGUAGGCGGGUUGUCAAGUCAGUUGUGAAAUGUAGUCGCUCAACGUCUGCACUGCAAUUGAAACUGGCGACCUUGAGUGCGUAAGAGGCAGGCGGAAUUCGUCGUGUAGCGGUGAAAUGCUUAGAUAUGACGAAGAACUCCGAUUGCGAAGGCAGCUUGCUAGUCCGUAACUGACGCUGAAGCUCGAAGGUGCGGGUAUCGAACAGGAUUAGAUACCCC
rnacentral:rRNA from 1 species